CUGGAAGAAUGGGGGCUUUUCACCCCACUCAAACCAGAAUACAACGUCAAGGGCGCUUACUCCAAAGUUGUAGGCGGAGCUCUCAAACUCAGCUCCCUUCACAAGGCCAAAAUCUCCUGCAUUCUCACUGCUAAACCCCCCGUUCUGAAUGGAGUUGGAAGGCUGCAUGGUCUUACAGUAGCAUCAGUGGCAGAGAGGGUUGCUAUUGCUUGUGCUAAGACAGUAGUUGGGACAGAUGAGGAUCUCUUCCUUGGAGAGCUUAGCAUCUCUUAUCUCUCUUCAGCUCCGCGUAAUGCACAAGUGAUUGUGGAGGCGUCUCUGGUAAGCAGCCACAAUAAGCGGACAAUAGUUGAGGUUAGUUUCCGGGCAGAGGAAACGGGGCGACUGCUCUACUUGAGUCGCGCUACAUUUUACAGCCUGCACCUUUCUAGUCGUUUGUGAAUUGUUUUAAGAAAUUGUUUGCCUUUAUUAAAAAAAAGUGGGUAAAAAAAAUUAGUAGAAUGAUUGUGAGUAGAAUGAGUUAGUACAACGUGAGUAGUCGGCCGACUGGCUCAAAACUAUUCAAAUA